rnacentral:rRNA from 1 species
UACAGAGGGUGCGAGCGUUAAUCGGAAUUACUGGGCGUAAAGCGCGCGUAGGCGGCUUUGCAAGUUGGGUGUGAAAUCCCCAGGCUUAACCUGGGAACUGCAUUCGAGACUGCAUUGCUAGAGUAUGGGAGAGGGAAGUGGAAUUUCCGGUGUAGCGGUGAAAUGCGUAGAUAUCGCUUGGAACGCCAAAGGUGAAAACAGGUAGCUGGGGGUGUGCUGACACUGAGACACGAAAGCCAGGGGAGCAAACGGG